GAUGAACGCUGGCGGCGUGCCUAAUACAUGCAAGUCGAGCGAAUGGAUUAAGAGCUUGCUCUUAUGAAGUUAGCGGCGGACGGGUGAGUAACACGUGGGUAACCUGCCCAUAAGACUGGGAUAACUCCGGGAAACCGGGGCUAAUACCGGAUAACAUUUUGAACCGCAUGGUUCGAAAUUGAAAGGCGGCUUCGGCUGUCACUUAUGGAUGGACCCGCGUCGCAUUAGCUAGUUGGUGAGGUAACGGCUCACCAAGGCAACGAUGCGCAGCCGACCUGAGAGGGGGAUCGGCCACACGGGGACUGAAACACGGCCCAGACUCCUACGGGAGGCAGCAGUAGGGAAUCUUCCGCAAUGGACGAAAGUCUGACGGAGCAACGCCGCGUGAGUGAUGAAGGCUUUCGGGUCGUAAAACUCUGUUGUUAGGGAAGAACAAGUGCUAGUUGAAUAAGCUGACACCUUGACGGUACCUAACCAGAAAGCCACGGCUAACUACGUGCCAGCCGCCGCAGUAA
rnacentral:rRNA from 1 species